UCAAAUGAUCUUUUCGUUGUGCACUUGUCUUCUUUAGUUCUUCUAAAAGUU
rnacentral:sRNA from 1 species